GCAUGUGAUGCCUAUACUUAGAUAUUAGCCUCCAAAAACUCGUACAUGAUUGUCCUACUUUUCGCUCGUACUUUGUAUUUCUCUUUGCAGUAUUCAUGCAUUUGUUUAAUGAAUGAUCAUGUUUAUUGUAUCUGAAAGAUGAUAUCACAAAAUGUAAUUAAUCAUAAUAUAUUGAUUAUUUGAUUUCAUAUUGUGAACAAACAAUCCCACACCGAGACUGUUAAAUCAGCAAGGACUGAAUUACAAAGAGUUCAGCAUCCAUACACGAGAUAUUACAUUGUUUGAUUUGUGUAGCUGCUAUAUAUUGGCGACUGUUAUUUGGUCAAGUCAAAUUUUGUCAGCUGGCCGUGUAUUGAGUUUGUGUCAAUUUUUUUUUAUCAGUGCAAGGUAUUGGUCCUUUAUUUAUAUCUUCUCUUUUUUUUCAAGUUUUAUUAUUUUUAACUGUUGUUUACGAUGGCUAUUUAAAAAGGACCACCCACUGUUAAGUGGCCCUGGUAAUGAAGACACAGGGUCGUUAUUCAUUGUGACUUCUUUGGGGGUGACAAGUUUACCAUGGGUGAAUGUUAAAAAUAAGAGGAGACUGCUUCUGGACAUCUCCUAUCUUGUACAUUGAAUGUUUUGUUACCAUUUUGAAUAUUUUGCAUGUUGUUUCUCGCAAUUUUGACAUGCUUAUUGUACAUAAUUAAUCAGUUGUUACCCUAUGGUUGGUAGAAUAACUUUGAUGAGCGUUAUUUGAAGUUUGUGUUACGUGUAUGAGAGAGAGUAAACAUCUAAAUCAU
rnacentral:misc_RNA from 1 species